AAGUCGUAACAAGGUUUCCGUAGGUGAACCUGCGGAAGGAUCAUUACUGAGUCUACGCUCGCCAGAGCUAACCUCCCACCCGUGUCUAUUACAUCUUGUUGCUUCGGCGGCAUCCGUGCCGCCGAGGACGCCAUUUGAACUCUGUUUUAUAAGGCAGUCUGAGAACAUAACUUAAUUAGUUAAAA
rnacentral:misc_RNA from 1 species